AGGACGAACGCUGGCGGCGUGCUUAACACAUGCAAGUCGAGCGGAAAGGCCCUUCGGGGUACUCGAGCGGCGAACGGGUGAGUAACACGUGAGCAACCUGCCCUACGCUUUGGGAUAACCCUCGGAAACGGGGGCUAAUACCGGAUAUUCAUCUCCUGUCGCAUGGUGGGGGUUGGAAAGUUUUUCGGCGUGGGAUGGGCUCGCGGCCUAUCAGCUUGUUGGUGGGGUGAUGGCCUACCAAGGCGACGACGGGU
rnacentral:rRNA from 1 species